ensembl:lncRNA
UGGAGCUGUGUGACUAUCUAAUCAUUGCCGGAGCAGAGUUUGAGCAUGUUACCAACAAGGGCCGAACUGCUCUCAUCACACUAAUUUCAAACCACAUACAGAGAGUAGAGCUAGAAGAGCUCGAGGAUGAAGCUUGAGGAAAUUAAAUCUGAGAUGGCUCUGUUGAAAGAUCUUAGAGCUGAAGUGUCUCACAUUAGGGAGUCCAUACAACCACCGCCAGCAGGGGGGGCCGAUGGCGCAUUAGGACUGCAAUUCUCAGGUCAGCAGAUGCAGGAUCCGCCACAGGGCUACUGGUUUUCUGCGGGCUCCAGACACAGAGGAGGAACUGCUCAGUAUCAGCAAAGGUUUGCCCCACAGCCCAACUUCCCCGCAUCACGUCGUGAUCAAAGGAGAAAAUGUUUUAGUUGCCAACAGAGUGGCGCUGAAGAUUAUUGCACGCACUGUUAUAGGUGUGGCAGCAGCGAGCACUUUCUGGCUGGUUGUCGAGCAAGGGGACAGAGACAGUUCGGAGGUGAGGCUUUAAACGGGGGAAGGUCACUCGCACGGGACAGGGAGUGACUAGUAAUGUAGCAAUGUCCCAGCAAUGUGCAUCCUGUAAGAAAGUGUUUUGCGAGUCUACGCCAUGUCAAGUUGAUAAUUUGGCAGCACACAAAAGAGAAUGUCAAGCACUCCCAUGUAUGACUACAAACACCGCUCCAAAGAAGGACAAAAGGGCAAAAAGGGCGCCAUUGGUAGGAGGAAAACACAUUGUUGAUUGCUUCAUCCAAGGCCAAAGUGUUCAGGCUCUGUGGGACUCAGGCUCCCAAGUGACCAUAAUUGAUGAGAGAUGGAAAGAAACACACCUGCCAAAUGCAAGACUAAGAGGCAUAACCGAAAUUCUAGAUACAACACAGACUUUUGACAUACAGGCAGCAAAUGGGGAGAGUAUGCCAUACACUGGUUGGGUCGAGGUAACUUUUAGAUUAGCUUCAGGAGCUGCAUCCAACACAGAAGUUAUUGUCCCCACACUUGUAAUGAAGGGUGGUAAGCUUGUCCAACCUAUCAUUGGGUCUAAUGUGAUUAGGAUUAUUAUAGACAGUGAGCUGAAACAGUCAAACACCACUGACAGGGAAGGGUUAAGUAGAACAGUAAGGGCAGCCUUUCCAGGACAAGCAGCAGCCUUUGUGGAGCAGGUAACUGCUGCGGUAGAACAAGUCAGCACCACACUAGGGGAUGAGUAUAUCGUCAGGACAAAAAGGGGGAGGAUUAACAUACCAAAACGCACAUCAGUCAGAGUUGAGUGUCAUGUAAACAUGGAUUCUCCACAUGAAGACAACAUAUUUCUCUUCGAGCCAGAUGUGAACCCCCGCUGGGCAGAGGGACUUGAACUAUGUGACAUGCUGGUGAAAGUAGAUAAGGACAGAAAAAAACCCUCUAUUAGUGUAAGUGUGCAGAAUAUUACAGACCAUGACAUGAUGUUACCAGGGAAAACUGUAGUCGGGACUGUCCAGCAGGUCCAAACAGUCUACCCCGCCUCCAUACUAGAGGGGUCACGCCCUCCGCCUUCAGCUACAACAAAUCACAUCAGCGCUGAAAAGGAUCUGACUACAGGCAAUGUUUGGGAUCCACCUGUGGAUUUGGGCCACCUCAGUGAGCCAGAACGUGAGAUAGUUAGCAAGAUGUUACGAGAGGAGUGUGCCUCCUUUUCAAGAACAGAGGAUGAUAUCGGUUGUAUCGAAAAACUUCAACUCAGCAUUUCCCUGAAAGACACGGAGCCUGUCGCAAAAGCAUACCUCUCGGUGCCUAAGCCACUUUAUCGGGAAAUGAAAGACUACUUGAAUGAUCUCAUCGCUCAGGGUUGGGUGGAGAAGUCUAAUUCACCGUAUGCAUCACCAGUCGUGUGCGUUCGAAAGAAGGAUGGGAGUCUCCGACUGUGCAUAGACUUUCGCGAAGUGAACAGAAAGACCCUCCCUGACCGCCAGCCUAUCCCCAGAGUGCAAGACAUAAUGGAUGGCCUCGGAGGAAACUGUUGGUUCUCUCUGUUAGAUCAAGGGAAAGCGUACCAUCAGGGCUUUAUGACGAAGGAGAGCAGACCCAUAACCGCUUUUGUCACACCAUGGGGUCUUUAUGAGUGGAUCAGA